CGCGUCUCCUUAGAGGGAAAAUGAAAUCCCCAAAUUUUUGAAACCUCCGCCUUCCAAAUCGAUCCUCACACUAAAUGGUUCGGCGAUUGCAACUACUUUCUAUUGUAGCGCCGAUCGACAACGACGACUCCACCUUCUCGUCUCUCCUUCUUCACCAGGUUUCUUUUAUGCAGGGAAAUUUUGUAACUUAUAUUUUCUUUUACCAUUUCUUUUACUUUUUAUGUAAUUAACUCACAUGACAACCCUCUUCUCUCUCCAACGACGGACAUCACCGGAGCUUUGUUUGCGUCGGAAAAUAUAUCUACUAUUCCAAAAGUCUUUCAAUCGUGGAUCUUAAUCUCAAGAAUAAAUGUAAACAAUGGAUGCACCCGUUCUAGAAGUUCGAACCGAAGGUGAACCUGCUGUUGCGGAGGAAUUAGGGCAAAAUGUUGAUCAGAUCAUCGUGAAGGUUGAUGAGGAAGUGGACUUGUUGCUGAAUGAUGGAAGCAAGCAGAUAAAUGAUAAAUAUUACAAGUCGAAGGAGGAGUAGGCGUUGUUUGUUGAUGACUAUGGCUUUAGCCCAAACACCACCAUCCACUGGUAAGUUGCACCUUUUUUUUGCAGAAAGGAAAAAAAAUUCCAGUGGUGAACAACAAUUAGCAAAGGAAAAUAAAGCAGGAGGAAAUGGUUCCAAGAGGCGUCUCUCUGAAGAUGGAAAUAAAGAGAGACCUUUUUUUGCAGAAAGAAACUUGAUGGAGGGUGAAAUGCAUUGCAUGGACAGUUAAUAAGUUUCAGUUGAGCCCAACAUUUGGAAGGUUCACACAGGGGACCAGUAACUUCUGAUAGUCAUAGGAGUGAAAGAGAAAGAAAAGUAACAAGUCUAUUGGUAUCUUUAUUUUUUUAGUAGAGAGUAUCAUUAUGUUUACGGUAUGCUUCUUCUCUAUUUAUCCAUUUUUCUUGAAUGAAUAACUUUUCUUUCCUGUUGAACUUAUUCUAGUAUUUUCAUUCUUAUCGUAUCAGUUACUUGAUAAGCUUUUCUUUCUAACAUUUAAUUGAUUUUUUUGUUGCAGUAGCAGUGGACAAACUUAGAAGAAGAAAUAGUUAGCCUAAUACAACAACAAACAUCAAUCAAAUCAUCCCAAUAUGGGAAGUAGUCCCUUUGUUGCUCAAGGAGAUGCAAUGAUAAUAGAUGUUGCAUGCAUCUUGUUCAGAGUUUAAUAAAGAGUUAAACGUAGAAAUUUCAUCUGUUAAAUUACUAUGUUUUAGUUCUUUAAACUCAAAUACCAUCUAAUCAUCAACUUGCAAAAAUUGAAUUGAGGUAAAGGAAGGAUGACAAGAAUUCUGCUCCUGUUGAAGAUGCAACCUCCACAAAAAGAAAACCAUGUAGUAAAGAAUUUGAUGUGGAUUCACUCAACAAAAUGUUAAGAGAUUUUUAUUUGGCCAAAGAGCUAGCUAUUAAAGAUAUUUUCCAGUCAUCAGCCUAAAUAGAAAGUUGUCAUCUGCUGCCAGAUAUUGACAAGUGGUAUGAUUAGUGGCAAGAGGGAUUAGGCAAGACAACACUUUCUUUGAAUGUAAUCAAGGAAGCUCAAAAGCUUGGAGGUGGAGAAUGCGCUGGACCCACUGCUGCUUGAAACAGUUGGUGAAAAUACCAAAAGUCUUCUCAUCUCACAGCCAAAUUCUACUGAAAAUUUGCUGAGUAUUGUUGGCACUCUCACACAGAAUGGAGCAGUUGAUGUGAUUGCCAUCGACAGUGUUGCUGCACUCAUCCCACAAUGUGAAAUUACAGGUGUAAUAAGUGAUAAUAUCAUUGAGACACAAUCACGAAUAAUUACAUGAGCAUUUCCCAAGAUUCAUUAUUCUUUAUGUCUUUCAGAUACUCUUAUUAUAUUUAUAAAUCAGGGUCCGCAUCUUCUUGCUCCAACAGGGAGUAACCUUGAACGCCAUGGGAAAGAGGGUACUGUGUUUGCAGGAUGAAAUUAUGACCAUUCAUGGAAGAAGUAGAUUCCCUGGUCUAAGUAUUUGGCAGAAAUUUUGAGAAGAUAGCAUGGGAUGCUACAGGGGAGCGUUUGGCUGUGUCAUAUAAAGAUGGAAACGAGGUGUACAAGGGUCUCAUCACCAUAUAUGAUGUGAAAAGGGAUACAAUCAUAACCCCCUCAUUAAUUGGGUUCAUCAUAGGGCCUGGAGAGGACCCGAAGCCUUUCAUUCCAUGACAAGUACAAACAGGGGCCUGUUAUCGGUUGUAUGGAGCACUGGAAGUUGUGUCACCUACCCCCUCCUAAUUUGUUCCCAUCUCCUUGCUUAGCUUAAGCCCAGCCCACCUAUUUUCAAUUUUCUUCACUUGUACACUUUCUCUCCGGUUUUAAUCACGGGCAUUUGAUUUGUAGAAUAUUAUCAGAAGGAAUGGAAUCUGUGUCAAAGGAUUUGAUUAUAUAUAUGAUGGGCUAUUUUGGUAUUUUAACAAAUAAUGGAAUUGAAUUGAAUGGUUCAGGUAUGCAAUCAUUAAUUGUGGAUUAAUUUCUAAAAGUUUGAGAAAUAUUUUUUUCCUAUAUCAGCAAUGUGCUUAUUUUCUUCUGUUUUUUUCCUAUUUUUUUCCUAUAUCAGCAAUGUGAAUGGAAUUGAAUUGAAUGGUUCAGGUAUGCAAUCAUUAUUGAGGGAAUGCUUAAGGUUUUAUAUCUCUAUACAUACAUGUUUAUAUAUCUGGUUAGUCAUAUUCUUCUUGAAAUAUCUGUUACAACAAUGGGAUUCAUCCAAGUUGAUAAGACUACAGAUUAUCUUUUGGAUCCCCUUCAAAGGUGUCUCAAGGACCUACAUGCAUUCACUACAGCUAUUGUUACUAGCUAGGCUUACAACAAUGGUUGCAAGAGAUGAGUUCAGAAGAAGAAGAAACAAGGCUGCAACUAUAGUUCAGGUACUAUGGAUGAAUUAUGUUUGUAAAGUAUUUAAGAAAAUGAUUAUAAACAAGGGUGAAUUUGUACAGAUUAGUUAGCUACUUGCAGGUUGGUCUUGAAUAAGCAAAGGGGCAAUGGAUUGUAUUUUUUGUAUCUAAUUCGUUUGUAAAUUUUUGUUACAACUUCUAUUGAUUUGUUUUA